UUGUCUCGAUAAUUGUUCAGUAGUGAAUAGUUGUAACAGUAAAUACAUGAUUAUAAUCAUACUAUGCCAAGGUUUUCCCGAACUCUGUCAAAAUAGUCCAUGCGGAUGUGCUGUGUUCUGUCAUGGAUGAGAAUACAGAGUUGCUAAAACAACUUGAAGAAAGAAUUCAAGGCGGCAAGCAAAUGAUAGAAGGUUUGAAGUUACUGGAACAUGUCGAAGGGGUUGACAAGUUUGCCAGAAAAAUUAAUCAGGAAAUCCGAUUUUUAAAAAAAGUACAAUCGACCGGGAAUGUGAAGAAGGAUCAUUUGCAAAGUACAAAUUUAAUCCAUCUUAGCGCCUUGGUAGAUCGUCUACAUGCCUCUAAGAAUCCGGUGAGUGUUAUCAAACCAUUCAAGUUUGAACAGUCUCGACUGGAGGUCGACAUCGUCGAUAACAAUGGAUCAACCUGGGUAAAAGUCAUAGCAAGAAAUGCACGAGCUUUGACGCUAAUAUCCCUUGGCAAUGGGGAAUAUGGACAGAAGUCUGUCCUGCAUCAAGCGGCAGCCUAUCUAAAAUGUGCUGCCCUCCAUCCACACAUGUACAAAAUACCAGAGGUCAUUUUUCAUUUUGCCUAUGGGAUAGAAACCCCAUUAGCUAUCAGAUUGAAACAUCUAGGAGUUUUGGUCGAGGGGGAAAAUAUUUCCUGCUCAGAAGUUCCGUCCCUGGAUAAUUCUUUCUUGAUGGACCAUACGCAACAACUUGAUUUCUCAGCUUUAGAUAUGUAUGACUCAGACUGUGAAAAUGAUCAGGGAGAGCUGAAGGAGGUGGCAAUGCUUGACCCAAUUAAUUCGGUGCACACGAACGAAAUAGAGGAGAUCAGAAUUCUCAAUUUGGAUGUUUCUACUCUAUUGGCGUAUGUUACGAACAUGGUGAAUGGGCAUACGCAUUUUAAGUAUCGUGAACCUCUGUUGACCAUGCAAGCAGAGUGGGAAAGAAGCCGUCCUGUAAAACCGAUUCUUGAUCAAAUUUUCCAGGGCAAGACAUUAAUCGUCUGCCGCACUGCCUAUGAUAAUUUUACAAACAUAAUUCGUGUUAUUGGAGGCCCUAAUGAAUCUCGGAGAAGUAAGGAAUUCAUGAGGAAGGUGACGAUCGUUCCUGACGAUCCUUGUGACAGGAUUAUGAAGGCGUUACCCCUUGGUGGUAGAAUCAAGGAUCGGUCAAGGCUCGUUUUUGCAACUGGUGAAAAUAUGAAGAGUAUCACUGUGUCGGCUAAUGAAGGGUUCGUCAGAGCAGCCAGGAUGCAGGGAAUUGAAUGCUCAGUUUUUCUACAUGAACCAAGAUCGUUAUCUGAAAUGAAAGAAAUUAAUGCUCAGAGAUUAAAUCUAUCGUGACAUCCCACAUCAACCAGAUUGAUUAAAAUGGGUGCCAAUAAAAACAACUCGCAAUAUUUAUACACGUAUGACCAUUUGCAAGCCUGAAGGUUAGGCACCACUGCCACAAAAGCACACUGGAAUUUUAAAUUACGGGGUUACCCUACUGUGAAAUUAUCAAAGUAAAAUGAUUUAUUUUUUCACUUUAAAAAAGGCAGAAGCGUCGAAAAAAAUCUAGGUUUUUCUUUUGUCAUUAAAGACGAAAAAAGCUUUGCAGCGGAUAGCCAAUAGAAUGUAGUUAACAAGCAUUUUUUUUUUUUUUGCGUUAGACCAACGAUACUUGCGAUAUCAUGUACACCGAGGGAUCGUGCACGAAAAUCAUCGAAACACGCGAAGCGACGUACCUUUCAUCAAAUUGUAAUUUUUCCGAUAAAAUUUUUUGAAUACGCUUCUUAACGGGUACAUGUGUUGAUAUCAAUAAAAUAUUAAUAUUGCAUGAGUAACUUUUCCGAAGAUAAUUCCUGAAAAUUAGCGUAUUUUGUCGUUUGUCACAGUAGGGUAUCCCUUAACUCAACGUUUUCGUGCCUUUCUGGUUGG